AUUGAACGCUGGCGGCAGGCCUAACACAUGCAAGUCGAGCGGCAGCACGGGUACUUGUACCUGGUGACGAGCGGCGGACGGGUGAGUAAUGCCUAGGAAUCUGCCUGGUAGUGGGGGAUAACGUUCGGAAACGAACGCUAAUACCGCAUACGUCCUACGGGAGGAAGCAGGGGACCUUCGGGCCUUGCGCUAUCAGAUGAGCCUAGGUCGGAUUAGCUAGUUGGUGAGGUAAUGGCUCACCAAGGCGAAGAUCCGUAACUGGUCUGAGAGGAUGAUCAGUCACACUGGAACUGAGACACGGUCCAGACUCCUACGGGAGGCAGCAGUGGGGAAUAUUGGACAAUGGGCGAAAGCCUGAUCCAGCCAUGCCGCGUGUGUGAAGAAGGUCUUCGGAUUGUAAAGCACUUUAAGUUGGGAGGAAGGGCAGUUACCUAAUACGUAAUUGUUUUGACGUUACCGACAGAAUAAGCACCGGCUAACUACGUGCCAGCAGCCGCGGUAACAC
rnacentral:rRNA from 1 species